rnacentral:snRNA from 1 species
AUACUUACCUAGCAGGUGUCAUACCGUGAUCAAGAAGGUGGUUCACUCAGGGUGAGGCUCAACCAUUGCACUCUGGCCCCUGCAAGUUCUCCAAAUGUGAGAGUCUUGACUGCAUAAGUUUUGGUAGUGGGGGACUGCAUUCGUACUGUGCCCUG